rnacentral:rRNA from 1 species
UGGGGAAUAUUGGACAAUGGGCGAAAGCCUGAUGGAGCAACGCCGCGUGAAGGAUGAAGUAUUUCGGUAUGUAAACUUCGUAAGAAUAGGAAGAAUAAAUGACGGUACUAUUUGUAAGGUCCGGCUAACUACGUGCCAGCAGCCGCGGUAAUACGUAGGGACCAAGCGUUGUUCGGAUUUACUGGGCGUAAAGGGCGCGUAGGCGGCGUGGUAAGUCAUCUGUGAAAUCUCCGAGCUUAACUCGGAACGGUCAGAUGAUACUGCUGUGCUAGAGUACAGAAAGGGCAAUCGGAAUUCUUGGUGUAGCGGUGAAAUGCGUAGAUAUCAAGAGGAACACCUGAGGCGAAGGCGGGUUGCUAGGCUGAUACUGACGCUG